rnacentral:rRNA from 1 species
UGGGUAACCUGCCUCAAAGAGGGGAAUAGCCUCCCGAAAGGGAGAUUAAUACCGCAUAAUAUGUUUAGGUCGCAUGACUUUAACAUCAAAGGAUUUUCUUUUAGAAAUUCCACUUUGAGAUGGACCCGCGGCGCAUUAGCUAGUUGGUGAGGUAACGGCUCACCAAGGCAACGAUGCGUGGCCGACUGAGAGGGUGAUCCGGCCACAUUGGAACUGAGACACGGUCCAGACUCCCGUAGGGACGG